GCUUCGUGUGGACCAUCUGUAGAGGUCGGAUACUUGUGUGGCUAUGAACGACCAGAGAGAACUUUCAAAUCUACAUUCUCGAUCAUGGAGUUCGACUAUCCAUGCUCAGGUAUUGGGUUCAGAACCCUAGAAGUGGUAGAUUAGAUCUAUUACUAAAUAUUGUUUUUGGUUCACAUGCUUAUCAUUUUAGAUUCAAAUAUUUAUGCAUAUAAAUUCAUGUCAUCGAUUCAUUUGU
rnacentral:lncRNA from 1 species